GAAUGCUUCCUGCGGUGAGGAGGGGGGAGAGGAGAGACGAGUUAGCAGGGAAUCUCAGGCUUCCAGCCUCCCAGCCUGAGCCUCGCCCUCUCCCGUUUUUGGUUUGACGUCAGCCCUUCUGCGUGCUCGGGGGUGGGGAGAGGGUGGAAGAAGAGGGAGGGGCCCCAGAUCCCCUCUAAGGCAGAUAAUUUGCGCUUUACAAAGAGAUCACUGCUUCUGCAGAUGGA